AUGGAGCAGCUGGAGAAGAUGGACACCACUGUUGCUAGGAACAAAGAGCUAAGUACCACAGUGGAAGAGUACAGGGAGCUCACCCAUUCAAUGAGGCAUGUGGGGUUCACGCUCACUAGCUAUUACGUGAACUGGCUCCAGCAGGCUCCUGGGAAAGGACUAGUGUGGGUUGGAAGAAUUGACCCAGCAAAUGGUGCUACCAUCUACUCCCAGUCCUUUAAGGACAGAUUCACCAUCACCACCGAUAACUCCAUCAGCACCAUGUACCUGCAACUCGGCAGCCUGAGAGUAGACGACACGGCUGUGUAUUACUGCGCCAGACACACCGUGAGAGGGAGCCCAGACAUCGCCGUGCAAAAACUGAGUGUGAAAGCAACAGGGAAUCAGAGGCCUUAA